rnacentral:rRNA from 1 species
UACGGGGGGAGCAAGCGUUGUUCGGAUUUACUGGGCGUAAAGCGCACGUAGGCGGAUUGUUAAGUCAGGGGUGAAAUCCUGGAGCUCGACUCCAGAACUGCCUUUGAUACUGGCGAUCUUGAGUCCGGGAGAGGUGAGUGGAACUCCGAGUGUAGAGGUGAAAUUCGUAGAUAUUCGGAAGAACACCAGUGGCGAAGGCGGCUCACUGGCCCGGUACUGACGCUGAUGUGCGAAAGCGUGGGGAGCAAACAGG